AUUGAACGCUGGCGGCGUGCCUAAUACAUGCAAGUCGAGCGCAGGAAAUCGACGGAACCCUUCGGGGGGAAGUCGACGGAAUGAGCGGCGGACGGGUGAGUAACACGUAAAGAACCUGCCCUCAGGUCUGGGAUAACCACGAGAAAUCGGGGCUAAUACCGGAUGGGUCAUCGGACCGCAUGGUCCGAGGAUGAAAGGCGCUUCGGCGUCGCCUGGGGAUGGCUUUGCGGUGCAUUAGCCAGUUGGUGGGGUAAUGGCCCACCAAGGCGACGAUGCAUAGCCGACCUGAGAGGGUGAUCGGCCACACUGGGACUGAGACACGGCCCAGACUCCUACGGGAGGCAGCAGUAGGGAAUCUUCCACAAUGGACGAAAGUCUGAUGGAGCAACGCCGCGUGAACGAUGAAGGCCUUCGGGUCGUAAAGUUCUGUUGUAAGGGAAGAACAAGUGCCGCAGGCAAUGGCGGCACCUUGACGGUACCUUGCGAGAAAGCCACGGCUAACUACGUGCCAGCCGCCGCAGUAA
rnacentral:rRNA from 1 species